AUUGAACGCUGGCGGCAUGCCUUACACAUGCAAGUCGAACGGCAGCACGGGUGCUUGCACCUGGUGGCGAGUGGCGAACGGGUGAGUAAUACAUCGGAACAUGUCCUGUAGUGGGGGAUAGCCCGGCGAAAGCCGGAUUAAUACCGCAUACGAUCUACGGAUGAAAGCGGGGGACCUUCGGGCCUCGCGCUAUAGGGUUGGCCGAUGGCUGAUUAGCUAGUUGGUGGGGUAAAGGCCUACCAAGGCGACGAUCAGUAGCUGGUCUGAGAGGGCGACCAGCCACACUGGGACUGAGACACGGCCCAGACUCCUACGAGAGGCAGCAGUGGGGAAUUUUGGACAAUGGGCGAAAGCCUGAUCCAGCAAUGCCGCGUGUGUGAAGAAGGCCUUCGGGUUGUAAAGCACUUUUGUCCGGAAAGAAAUCCUUGGCCCUAAUACGGUCGGGGGAUGACGGUACCGGAAGAAUAAGCACCGGCUAACUACGUG
rnacentral:rRNA from 1 species